AACCCUGAGGCGUGAUGACGAUGCACUACGGUGCAGAAGUAGUUGAUGCCCUGCUUCCAGGAAAAUCCUCUAAGCUCCAGGUAACAUUAAAUCGUACCCCAAACCGACACAGGUGGUCAGGUAGAGAAUACCAAGGCGCUUGAGAGAACUCGGGUGAAGGAACUAGGCAAAAUGGUGCCGUAACUUCGGGAGAAGGCACGCUGGCAUGUAGGUGAAGUCCCUUGCGGAUGGAGCUGAAGCCAGUCGAAGAUACCAGCUGGCUGCAACUGUUUAAUAAAAACACAGCACUGUGCAAACACGAAAGUGGACGUAUACGGUGUGACGCCUGCCCGGUGCUGGAAGGUUAAUUGAUGGGGUCAGCCGCAAGGCGAAGCUCUUGAUCGAAGCCCCAGUAAACGGCGGCCGUAACUAUAACGGUCCUAAGGUAGCGAAAUUCCUUGUCGGGUAAGUUCCGACCUGCACGAAUGGCGUAAUGAUGGCCAGGCUGUCUCCACCCGAGACUCAGUGAAAUUGAACUCGCUGUGAAGAUGCAGUGUACCCGCGGCAAGACGGAAAGACCCCGUGAACCUUUACUAUAGCUUGACACUGAACAUUGAGCCUUGAUGUGUAGGAUAGGUGGGAGGCUUUGAAGCGUGGACGCCAGUCUGCGUGGAGCCAUCCUUGAAAUACCACCCUUUAAUGUUUGAUGUUCUAACUCGGCCCCGUGAUCCGGGGUGAGGACAGUGUCUGGUGGGUAGUUUGACUGGGGCGGUCUCCUCCCAAAGAGUAACGGAGGAGCACGAAGGUUAGCUAAUCACGGUCGGACAUCGUGAGGUUAGUGCAAAGGCAUAAGCUAGCUUGACUGCGAGAGUGACGGCUCGAGCAGGUACGAAAGUAGGUCUUAGUGAUCCGGUGGUUCUGAAUGGAAGGGCCAUCGCUCAACGGAUAAAAGGUACUCCGGGGAUAACAGGCUGAUACCGCCCAAGAGUUCAUAUCGACGGCGGUGUUUGGCACCUCGAUGUCGGCUCAUCACAUCCUGGGGCUGAAGUAGGUCCCAAGGGUAUGGCUGUUCGCCAUUUAAAGUGGUACGCGAGCUGGGUUUAGAACGUCGUGAGACAGUUCGGUCCCUAUCUGCCGUGGGCGUUGGAAGAUUGAGAGGGGUUGCUCCUAGUACGAGAGGACCGGAGUGAACGCACCACUGGUGUUCGGGUUGUCAUGCCAAUGGCAUUGCCCGGUAGCUAAGUGCGGAAAAGAUAAGCGCUGAAAGCAUCUAAGCGCGAAACUUGCCUCAAGAUGAGUCUUCCCUGGGCCUUCAAGGCCCCUGAAGGAACGUUUAAGACUAAGACGUUGAUAGGCUGGGUGUGUAAGUGCAGCGAUGCAUUGAGCUAACCAGUACUAAUGAUCCGUGAGGCUUAACCUUACAACACCGAAGGUGUUU
rnacentral:rRNA from 1 species